rnacentral:rRNA from 1 species
UACGUAGGGGGCGAGCGUUGUCCGGAAUUACUGGGCGUAAAGGGUGCGUAGGCGGCGAUGCAAGUCCAUUGUGAAAAGCCCGGGCUUAACCUGGGAGGUGCAGUGGAAACUGCAUGGCUUGAGUGCAGGAGAGGAAAGUGGAAUUCCUAGUGUAGCGGUGAAAUGCGUAGAUAUUAGGAGGAACACCAGUGGCGAAGGCGGCUUUCUGGACUGUAACUGACGCUGAGGCACGAAAGCGUGGGGAGCAAAC